GUACGUAGGCCGAUAGAGACCCAAUUCCCCUUCACCGUGCAGCAAAGUUAAUAAUCAAUUCACAGUUACAGAGUGGUGACUGGCCUCAAGAGGAGGCGACGGGAGUAUUCUUGAAGAACGGCGUGUUGCAUUACGCACUAUACAGAAAUGCUUUUCCAUUAUGGGCUUUGGCUGACUAUCGCACCAAAGUUUUAUUGCCUUCCACUUCUGCUUAGCUUCAAAUGUUGUCAGCUCUCAAAGACAAUUAAUAUCAUACGGAAAUAAAGAAUCCAGCAAUAAAAAAUAAAAGAAGUUGAUGUUUCAGUUCAGUAAUAAUAAGCUUGUUCCUUUUCAUGUAUUCGUAAUUAUUAAACAGACAUUUUCUGUCAUUGAUUGAUUGCAUCAGUAAAAUACAUUGAUUGAUUGAAUGUAUAAUAAAAUUACAGUUUAUAUUUAUUUGGACUUGAAGAUAAAUUAAAUAGAUUUAAGGGAAAAGAAAGUGAAGGUAAAAGUGUUUAAAUUAAGAAAACUUAUUGUAAUCGCUCACCAUCGCGACAAAGAGAGAAAGAGAGCAGGGCGCCUCUUUCAGAGAACCAUGCGAGAGCGCAAGGCACGUCUGAACACAAACCCACCAUGGUUUUCCUGCUAGUUCAAGAUCGAACCCAAUUGUGGUAGACAUCUUUCUUAUGAUCGACAAUCAUUUAGAUCGAGCUCAAUCCCCUGUCAGCAUGAACAAUUUCCCAACAAUCAACCUCAAUGUCAAAUAUGUUUCAAGAUGGCACGUCUUGCUCUUGACUGCUGGCAGAUAUUUAAUUAAGAAGUACAAUCCUCCAUGCAAGCCAACAACACCCAGAGAUUCAAAAUAUGGCAUAAUCAUGUAGUUCACAUGGGUCACGAGAGGCAAUGUUCUUUAUAGAUGCAAUCUAUUGAACAAAAAUUUGGAUUCUUUAGUGAUAAACAAAGAUCUGAUGUUGAAAUUCAAACCUCGAAUUUAAAUGCAGUUGGGGGAGAAGUACUUCUUUCUGAUAAACCUCUUUGUUCAAUUCCUAUGGAACAAGCACUGGUAAGUGGCAAUGUAGUUGAAGGCUUGGAGACUUCCGGAAGUAGUUUAGAGGGCUCCUUGGUCAUGGUACCUGAUUAUAUUUAUGGUUUGCUGAACAUAGGAAGGUGUAGUGAAGGUGCAUGCUUCAGAGAUUUGUCUCUAGACAAUGCACAUGAAGAUACAAUUGUGGAUAAUCUAUCUGUUGUAAUACAUGUGAUUCACCAACGGUUGGAAUUCAAGAUGAUUUCCAGUUUUGAGGGCCAAAUAAUUAGGGUCAGCAAAUCUGACCAUAGUACCUGUCCUAAUUUUCAGAGACUACAUAUAUCGAAAACAAUGAUGCUAAGGAAAAUGAGUUAGCAAACAACGGUAACCAGAUGGAUGUGGAGCUUUUAUUCAGUGGUUUUGCAAGUUUAAGUUCAGUGAAUUCUACAACAUCAUGUAUUUUGGGUGAGGAAUCACAGAUAUGCGAAAAUGAUGAUCAUGGAAGCUUUUGUCAA